rnacentral:lncRNA from 1 species
UUUUCUUUUUCAUCCAUCCAUCAACUUCAAUUUUUUCAUCCAUCAACAUCAAUUUUUCUUUUUCAUCCAUCAACUUCACGAGAAUACACACCCAGAUACACUCCUCUCACCACAAAUCUGCACAGACACAUAAUACAUAUACACAUACUCUCUCAAUUUCCAUGGAAGAGGAAGAGAGCAACACAAUACCACAAUACAUACAGACGCACAAAUAUAGAUAUAUACACACAGAACAAAGAGAAGAAAGGAGUAAUCUGACUCAUUCAUUUUAUAUACACACACAGAAUUCAUUCACUCACACAGUCAUAGGAGAAUACACACACACACACCAAAAAUUAGAGAAAAAUAAUCAAGAACAGUGGUAGAUAAAUAUUUCAGUCUGAUUUUCCGGUGAAAUCUAGGCGGAAAAUGUCAUCUCACAAUCGUCCAUCAUUUCUUUCCAGUCUGAGUUCAUCGAUGAAGCUCACCGGAGCUCCACCAUCAUCAAAUCAAUCGAAAAACGUCAUUGACAGUGACCAACACCGCUAAAAAGUAAAACAGACGAAUUCCACCGAAAUUGGCUCCACCAGCAAGGGGUAGCGUCGUUGAUUUUAUCAACGCACCACUGACUACUCUUCAUCCUCUUCAUCAUAAAUACCACAAACUCACAAAUCCACUACCACUGUUAAAACCAUAUUUGUGGUCGUUAACUUCAUAGUACCUAUCAUCAAGGUCCAAGAGCAAUACAACCUUCAUCUUCGUCAAAUUCAGAAUUCUCACCAUCAUCGUUAAUACAAUUCACCCUCGCUGACAAUUCCACAAUACCUAACACCAACACCAACGAGAAUUAAAGAAAACUAAAGAACAAUAACAGGAGAUGAGAUGCAGGUGGUGUGUGAAGAGGCUUAACAGUGCCGCCAUCGAUUCCAUUAAAUUCGCAGCAAAUCGUUCAAUUUUCUCAUGGAUUAAAUUUCAAUUUCUUCAUGAAUUGAGUUUUAGUUUCUCCAUGAAUUGAAUUUUCAUUUUCUCAUGGAUCGAAUUUCUUCCUCGGAGUCUUAAGGUGUAACAAUUACAUUCACCUCCAUAGACACCUCCGACAAGCAAUUUAUCCUAUCACCUAUGCCAAGAAAAUUCGAUGGAACAGAAGGUGUGGGGGUGGGGGUGGCGGAACAAUGAAGGAUGAUGUACAGUGGUAGGUGAAGAAAUAGAUUGUGAUAGAAGAAAAAGGAUGGAGAGAGAAAAAUAUAAAAAUUAAUGAAUAAAUUGGCAUUAGUUUAUUUUUAUUAAUUUUUUUGUUCCUCCACGCCUCCUUUGGAGAGUGAAAACACUCUCCUUAUUAGAGGUGGUGUUAAAUUCACUUGAAACAAAUUAAAGGAAUAAAUAAUUAUAUAUAAAGUUAAAAUUUUAAAAUAAAUUGAAGUGACAAGUUUAGGGGGUGAUACAUUUUCUCUAUAAAUAAUAACAUAGUGUAGAAAUAAUUUGCACUUGUAUUACUUAUUAUAUUCACACACUUUAAUUCCAUUCACCCUAUUAUAUAAAUUGUUAUCAAUUUAUAUCACUUGUAUUCAUUCAGUCUAUUAUUUGUAUUAACACGUGCGAUCUUGAUGUAUACACUCAUAAAGGUUGUAUGCGUUCACUUAAUUUCGCUUGGUACACUCAAAGCGAAAUAUAAAAAUAUAAGGAAAAAGAAGGGGUUUUGCAAGGAUAAAAACAACAAAAAUAUAUUGUAUAAAUCAAAGUAAAAUAUAAAAAUACAUUGGUUAUUGAAAAAUUCCUUCUAUUCACUCUGUUCGUCCCAUUUUAGUUGUCUACCUUACUACUAAAAAUUGUU